CUCGCGCUGCUGCGAACUGGUUCCGCCGUCACAUUCCUGCAGAAACUGGUUGAUCACACCGGGGCCAGACUACUAGCAUGUGGUUUUACAACCACAAUGUCCUCAGAAGCGAAAACGCUUUUAAAAGGGAGGGAGGAGUCCUAACUGUUGCUGCAGGCGAGUUGUGCGAGAGUGCAGUUAUAUACUGGUUAAAGGCAAGGUCCGUAAGAUUUAAAUGUAGCAUAACUUUAAAAAUGUUUGAUUUUGACCAUCUGACCCAAUUUUAUUAAAAAAAGUAAAUAAUCUUUAAUAUUUAAAUUUUCUCCUAAGUCACUCCCCUGUCCUGUAGAGCUCAGCCAAUAUUUCUGCAAGCCUAACGCCGGGGACACAUCGGCCGCGAAGCGAAUCGCUCACGAAAUUCAGCCGCUGCUCGCCGCUCCUCAGUUCAGAUCAGACGCGCCCCAGUCGAGGCGCGCCUCGGCUCAGCUGUAGUUUUUCUUUUAAACACUUGGUGUCCUCCAUUUCCUCUCUGCCUUUUCUCAGCUCUUUUCCUCUACGUUUGAGUGUUUGUACGUGUGUGUGAACCUAUGGUAUGAGUUGUUUCUGCCAGUUGAAUCUCUUGGAUCCCGCUCCAAUUCUGCAGCUGUAUCCUAGCAGUUUCUUCCGACAUGGGUACGUAAAUAACCAUGUUUUUCGGGGGUCUUGUGUUUCUCAACUUUGAGCUUUAAGCGCCUCGUGAUUUUUAUCUUGAGGCGCUAUAGAAAUGAUAUUUUCUUCUUCUUCUUCUUCUUCUUCUUCAACUUCCAUAAUUAAUUUAAAGUCAUCCAUCUUAACUGCUUGCCUCAGACUUUCUGCCUCUCUGUCCUGUUUGCUCCGGUGAAAAGACAUCCGAAACCACACCCCCCUUCACGUGGUCACACACGCACACAAGUUCGAUGUGUGUGUGUGUGUGUUCGUGUGGUUUUUCUGCAGUGUCUGAUUACGAACACAUUUGACUAUUGUGGAAUUUUAUUUUGAAAUGCUUUAUUUUGUUAAAUUUACCGGCCUGCCUCUUAUGUCUAGGUUUGACUUCCUGCCAGAAUUGACGCGAUUCAUCCGGCGACCGCCGGCGCUUCGGCGGCCCAUGUGGUCUAUAGAAUAGCUUAACAAGGGCGCCGAAUGAAGGCGGUCCCAUUUUCAUGGUGCUUCGCGGAGCUUCCGCGGCCGGUGUGUCCCCGGCGUAACGCGUUGACCAAUAGCGCUGCGUUAUCACCAGGGGCAGCUGUCAAUCAUCAAGCACAACAGUGCCACGCGCCUCACUCGGCUUACUGCAGAAACAUGGAGCAACAAAACCCCAAAUUACAGAUUCCUUGACUGCCUUCCACAUCUCAAAAAACAUUUAAAAAGUUUAAAAGCCCUUCUUCAAAAGUGGCUGUAAGACGUUUAAGACAGUCGAGUAGAAUUUACAUUGGAGAUUGUUUUACACACGAUGGAGAGAUUUUCGUGAUCUACGCGGCCUGAAAACGGAUGAAGAGUUGGCAAAGUAUCUUUUGGACAGGUAAGCUAUUUAUUGUUUUUUGGAUGAAUUUACUUAAAAUCUUUCUUUCACUGAAAGAAGUAAUAGAGCAAUCAAGCUUUGUAUGCUUGGUGUCCUAUUGGCUAAUGUAGCAUUAGCUUGAAUGCUAAGUCGACAUGAAUCGAUGCUAGUCAAACUAUUUAUGCUUUAUUUGGAAGAAGUUUGAGUAACGAAAGGGGAUUUUAGUGUUUUAUUAUAUGGGAGCUAAUGAUUAGUGUGGCGUUUAACUAUAGGCCGUAUCACUGUAUUGUUUUAAGCUCUUGUAUAUGACUUCAGCGUUAGCGGGGUUCAGUUAGCAUCUUGAACGCUGAAUUAGAUGUUUACACUUUCCUGAGCUGCGUGUUUGAUUAAAAUGAGUAAUCAGCAGCUCAUGUAGCACUUGUAGAAGUCUGAGGAGAUGAUUCAGCAGUUAGAAUUGGGUGUGAUUGAUCAGCAACGUAUCCAAAACCUUACGUUUCCAUUAGCACUGAAAGACAUAUUGUGCUAACCUGGGUGGGCCACGUGUACAGAUUACUGUCUGAUUUUGUGGUCUUACCUACGUGAAAACUCCAUAUUAAAAUAAAAGGAAUGAUAAUCAGCUCGUGCAGAAAUCUGUGAAGGCUGGGGAGACUUGUUUUAUUACAGUGGAACAAAGAUAUCUGUAACCAUUUUUGGUUUUGCUGCAAGUCGGCGAACACUUAUGAGUUUUUUGACAUGUGGAUCGGUCUACUCCAUCAUGUGACUGGAGAACAUGAGUGGUCUCUGGAUGCUUGUCAGCAUGAUCCUUUACUAAGUGACAGAGAGAAAGACUGGAUUCAGAAAGGCUCCACUCCACACAAAGCCCUCAGUGACAUCAUUCUCAGUGAACGCUGGCUGAAAGAAGUCCCAAAAUAUUUGAAAUUCAGCAAAUUUGGAGGCGUUUCACAACCAUCUCCUAAUGUAUGCAAGCAAAAGAUUCAGUUACAUCCCACCUGUUUACGAGGCACGGAUACUGCUUGCUGCACUGGACUACAAUCACCACUCACAUCGAGAAGUGAAGAGGAGAGCAGAUGGAUCGAUACAGUAUGUAUUUAUUUAUUUAUAUUUUAAAUGAAACAUACACUCAUGAAUUCAUAAUUCACUGGUCCAGUUUUAGUCAUUUUUUAUUAACAACUUCCUCAGAUGAACAACCACAACGCUCCUAACUGCUACAUAUUGGUUUAACAACAUGCUGUCAAGUGGCCAACUGUAGAAUCACAGAAACACCACAUUUUCAAUAAUAGUGCCUCCAGGUGGGGCUUACCUAAAUUACUUUUAAUUUAAAACACUUUUUCAGCUAAUUUGUUGUAUACUACAAGUUAGAGCCCUGCACGGGCCUAAAAUCUGAGCCCAUGUCCGGCCCGGCCCGAGAGGGUGGAGCCUCAGCCCGACCCGGUCCAAAAAGGUUUUCAGGAUUCUCCGGCCCGACCCGAGCCCGACUUUUUUUAACCAACUAAAUGAAAACAAAGUGCGUCAAUCCUGACCAAUGUGUUAAAAGACGUGCAGGAUCUGAUCAAUUUGUUUUUCCCUCAUUUACCGUCACGGAGAUAACAGCUCAGUGCGGCUCUGGUGGUAAUCUAGUUAAAUUUUAUCUCUUUCCAACAAUUUUCACAAGAAAACAGAACAGUUAAAAGCAGGGCUUGUGUUGACCGGAUAGUUCCCGUAUUUGACGGUUUAUUUUGACGGAGAAAGAAUAGAAAGAAUUACCCCGACGCAUGCAGACGAACUGACAUUUUAUUCUACGCACAUUGCAGAUGUAGCUAAAUCACGCAAGAAAAGAUUCCCAUCUGAACAUCUGAGCUGCUCAGCGCAGCUCGCUGUCAGCACAUAGGUGCACAGCGAGCUGAAGUUGUGGAGAUUGGCUUGGAGCGCGUCGCAGAACUAGAGCCCAUGCGGGAAGGUUCCUCCCACUGAAGCGAGUGUUUUCCAAACCCUGUCUCUCAGAGAGACUUGUCACUUAGAAAAUGUUUCCUGAUUAUGAAACUUUGGCUGAAUAGCGCUUGUUCCUGUCUCCAAUGUGGCGACACAUCCAGGAGCCGUCUGAGGAGAAGCCCAGAAUCUCACAUCCUCUUCAGCUCAGAAUGCGACCGAUAUGAUUACGCACAAGCGUGACCCGUCAACCCGGUCUCACAGUAAGACUGGGUUGGACCUGUUCAGGUUUACGCAGACAAUCUUUACAUUUAGAAUUGGCAUACAGAUGUAAAAUUAAUGCAGUAAAAUAUAAAGCUUUUUAUUUAAAUAUCCAUUCAUUAUUUUACAAGCACACAGAGCCGCAUCAGAUUCAGAUCAGCGGGAAGAUCAGUCGGAGGAAUCUUCCCGCAUGCGCUCUGGUUCUGCGACGUGCUCCAAGCCCCUCUCCACAUCUUCAGCUCGCUGUGUACCUUAUGUAGUACACGCUGACAGUGAGCUGGGCUGAGCUCAGUGUCCAGCUCAGAUGUUCAGAUGGGAAUCUUUUCUUGGGUGAUUUAGCUACAUCUGUGAUGUGCGAAACGAAUACAAUGUCAGUUCGUCUGCAUGCGUCGGGGUCAUUCUUUCUAUUCUUUCUCCGUCAAAAUAAACGGUCAAAUAUGGGAACUAUCCGGUCAACGCAAGCCCUGCUUUUAACUGUUCUGUUUUCUUGUGAAAAUUGUUGCAAAGAGAUAUAAUUUAACUUAAUUACCACCAGAGCCAGGCGCACUGCGCCGUUAUCUCCGUCACUGUAAAUGAGGGGAAAACAAAAUGAUCGGAUCCUUUUCUGACCUUCCCCACCUACAAAGUUUAAUUACAACAAUCAAACAUGACAGAGCCUGGAUUUGUAUUCUGAACAGUCUAAACAUGUUUUAAAAAGAAACAUAUGACAAAAGUGGCACCUGCUCAGUAAAACCACCAACAGGGUGAAAAAUAUCUAAAUAUUGUAGCAGAGACGGGCUACAACUUCUGGAUCUAUUUUAUAUAAAGCGUUUUAUUGAUUAUCUUCUUAUGAAAGAUUACUUUGACGUACACGAGCGACCGGUACUGGCUGCUGUCACCUGUUGUGAGCAGCGCUCUGCUGUCUGAGGGUAGGCCCUGCCCACAACGCCGCGGCUGCUGUGGCUCCCAGUGUUUUCUUUACUGUGGGAAACGGGUAAUAAUGGCUCUUUGAUGGGAACAGGUUGCCGACCCCUGGUUUAAGUGUUUCAAAUUUUUUUAAUGAAUUCGAUUAAAAAUAAAGGAGCCCGGCCCGUGUCCGAGGUAAUUACACAGUCGUUGGCCCGAAGCCCGGCCCGAGGGCCGUCAGGCCGGGCCGACCCGAGGGCCUAGGGCUUCAGUGCAGGGCUCUACU